CACCAGGCAUUGUGGUCUCCGC
rnacentral:miRNA from 1 species